rnacentral:rRNA from 1 species
UACAGAGGGUGCAAGCGUUGCUCGGAUUUACUGGGCGUAAAGCGUACGCAGACGGCUUGGUAGGUCGGAUGUGAAAGCCCCGGGCUCAACCCGGGAAUUGCAUCCGAAACCACCUCGCUCGAGUAUGGGAGAGGGAAGCGGAAUUCCUGGUGUAGAGGUGAAAUUCGUAGAUAUCAGGAGGAACACCGGCGGCGAAGGCGGCUUCCUGGCCCAUUACUGACGUUCAGGUACGAAAGCGUGGGGAGCAAACAGG